UACGUAGGGUCCGAGCGUUAAUCGGAAUUACUGGGCGUAAAGCGUGCGCAGGCGGUUUUGUAAGCCAGAUGUGAAAUCCCCGGGCUUAACCUGGGAAUGGCAUUUGGGACUGCAAGGCUGGAGUGCGGCAGAGGAGACUGGAAUUCCUGGUGUAGCAGUGAAAUGCGUAGAUAUCAGGAGGAACACCGAUGGCGAAGGCAGGUCUCUGGGCUGACACUGACGCUCAUGCACGAAAGCGUGGGGAGCAAACAGG
rnacentral:rRNA from 1 species